rnacentral:rRNA from 1 species
AACACAUGCAAGUCGAACGAAGCACUCAGGAGCGACUUCGGUCAAUCCUGUUUGACUUAGUGGCGGACGGGUGAGUAACGCGUGAGGAACCUGCCUUGCAGUGGGGAAUAACAGUUGGAAACGACUGCUAAUACCGCAUAAUGCAGAGAGAUCGCAUGGUCUUUCUGCCAAAGAUUUAGCGCUGUGAGAUGGCCUCGCGUCUGAUUAGCUAGUUGGUGAGGUAACGGCUCACCAAGGCGACGAUCAGUAGCCGGACUGAGAGGUUGAUCGGCCACAUUGGGACUGAGACACGGCCCAGACUCCUACGGGAGGCAGCAGUGGGGAAUAUUGGGCAAUGGGCGCAAGCCUGACCCAGCAACGCCGCGUGAAGGAAGAAGGCUUUCGGGUUGUAAACUUCUUUUAUUAGGGACGAUAAUGACGGUACCUAUUGAAUAAGCUCCGGCUAACUACGUGCCAGCAGCCGCGGUAA